UCUCUGCCAUGUAACAAAGCAGAUUAUCCUAUUAUUUAAGACACAUUUUCCUACGAUAUUGCCACCCAACUAAAAUGUUUCAAAUGGAUUUUUAUAUGCCUUCAUCCUUUUGCAUAAGAUGCUUGAUGCAUGAGAAAUGCCCUUCUGCAAGCGGCUCAACUAGGAAACAAUUAAUCAAUUAGAUUGCCAGGAAGGGAGAGUAUCUCACAGGAAAUCAAGGAUAGGCAACCAGAAAGCGACUCAAAAGGAAAGCCCCGCUUUCGGCAAACACUCUAGAAUUUACACAUUACUCCCAUUUUCAGCCAGAAUUAACACAAAUUCUACAGACACAGCCAGAUGGGUGCACUGAGGAGAGUUGACUGCGUUACCACACCAUUACAUCAGCAAUGGUUGCUUACUGACAUCAACUUUGCACAGGUACUGUCAGCAAUAUUUUAAAAAUUUCAUCAAUUGCAAUAAAUUUAAAUAAAUCGUGACUACUACAAAAGAAGUAGGCGGGAAAGUAUUCUCAGAUUUAUAAAAAGGGGGGGAAAUUGAGGGAUUAAUCCAGAAUGACCAUGAAAAAAUUAGUUAAUCUUUUUACACC